rnacentral:rRNA from 1 species
GAAAGAUCUAUUACCGAGUGCGGGUCCUUUGGGCCCAACCUCCCAUCCGUGUCUAUUGUACCCUGUUGCUUCGGCGGGCCCGCCGCUUGUCGGCCGCCGGGGGGGCGCCUCUGCCCCCCGGGCCCGUGCCCGCCGGAGACCCCAACACGAACACUGUCUGAAAGCGUGCAGUCUGAGUUGAUUGAAUGCAAUCAGUUAAAACUUUCAACAAUGGAUCUCUUGGUUCCGGCAUCGAUGAAGAACGCAGCGAAAUGCGAUAACUAAUGUGAAUUGCAGAAUUCAGUGAAUCAUCGAGUCUUUGAACGCACAUUGCGCCCCCUGGUAUUCCGGGGGGCAUGCCUGUCCGAGCGUCAUUGCUGCCCUCAAGCCCGGCUUGUGUGUUGGGUCGCCGUCCCCCUCUCCGGGGGGACGGGCCCGAAAGGCAGCGGCGGCACCGCGUCCGAUCCUCGAGCGUAUGGGGCUUUGUCACAUGCUCUGUAGGAUUGGCCGGCGCCUGCCGACGUUUUCCAACCAUUCUUUCCAGGUUGACCUCGGAUCAGGUAGGGAUACCCGCUGACUU